rfam:Clostridium sp. CAG:127 genomic scaffold, scf74
UAUGUUUGGGACUUAGAAGUUCUUGAUGUUCUGUGAGUAUCAGCAAUGUUUGAACACGACGUUCAAACAAGCCGCCAGUGAGCCAUGGAGGGCGAAUUGGGGGACUGAGCCAUGGAUGGCGAAUUGGCGGCGAUGGCGGACAUAGAGAAAAAGAAAAUUAAGAACAUCUAGUACUUCUUAGUUUCAAUACAU